rnacentral:lncRNA from 1 species
AGAUUUCUUCGAGCAUCCAGCUCAUCUCAAUGAACAUCAAGUUAUAGAUUGUAAUAACUAUAAGUAUCGAUCAUUACCUACACAUAAGUAAAAUUAAAAGCAAAAAUUUGAUCAUGUCCACAUGCCCCUGCUUGGGUUGCUUCAAGUAUCUGCCUAUAAUUGAGUUUUUCUGAAUAUGGAAUCAACUUCUCAUGCAUAGAGUCUUCUAACAGCCAAAAC